GGUUCCGUAGCCAAAUGGCAAAAAACGAAUCCCUUAUGGAUUCGUCAUGUCUGUCUGUCUGUCUGUCUGUCCGUGUAUGUCACAGCCACUUUUUUCCGAAACUAUAAGAACUAUACUGUUGAAACUUGGUAAGUAGAUGUAUUCUGUGAACCGCAUUAAGAUUUUCACACAAAAAUAGAAAAAAAAACAAUAAAUUUUGGGGGUUCCCCAUACCUACUUAGAACUGAAACUCAAUUUUUUUUUUUCAUCUAACCCAUACGUGUGGGGUAUCUAUGGAUAGGUCUUCAAAAAUGAUAUUGAGGUUUCUAAUAUAAUUUUUUUCUAAACUGAAUAGUUUGCGCGAGAGACACUUCCAAAGUGGUAAAAUGUGUCCCCCCCUGUAACUUCUAAAAUAAGAGAAUGA